CAUCUUCAAAGAAAAAACUUCGACCACUACUUCAUCUAAAGCGCUAGCUGCUGUAUUCUAAUCAGUCUUCUUCUAAUUCUUCUCUUCUUUCAGUUUGUUUUUCCAAGCCAUGCAAUCCUUCUUUAUAUAACCCUCUUUAUCACUUUAAAAAAAUUUGACAUUUCCUCUUGCCUUUGAUUGACUUCUAAAGUAACCACGUUCCUUAAGACCUUUGCUUUUUCUCCUUCCUCUAUUCUCUCUAAUGAGAACCUUUGCAUUAGUCCUACCCAAGUCCUUCU
rnacentral:lncRNA from 1 species